GUGUAUGGAGAGAAGGGGGAAAAACACCCACUAAAAACCUAAGAAGAAAUUCAGCAAUUUAAGGGAAGAAUUGAGGGUUGAUCUUGUGCAUGUACAUCAAUCCUUGAUCACCUCUACUUGCUAAUCAUAAGAAUAGGAACCACACUAGCAUGGACUCAAGCAUGGAAGGCUAACGGGUCAAGAGGAGACAAAGAAGCGGAUACGAACACGGACGCAUAAGGUAUAGGAAUGCCGGACUCUCGAGGAAUUGAUGUCGGACUCGAGUAAAUUAAAUUGAGAGGAUGUUUCAAUGGAAUACCUUACAUAGUUAGAAUGUGAUACAGCCUUUUAAGUAUAUGUAUUAAAUUAUAUAUGAUGUUACCAUGUACUAAUGUGUUGGUUAUAUAUGGUGACCGCUGGUUAAUCAGAUAUUCAUGAUGGACAUGUGAACGAGGAUCAAGUUGAAGAUCAUGGAUUGUACGGGAAAGUGGUCACAUUGUUUGUAAUCAUUUGUUAACAUAGUUACAUUAAAUAAAUGAUGAAUGAUGUAUUUAUGUUAGAAGGGUUGACCUAAACAGUAUUUAAGUAUGUUAGAGUAGUUAA